CCAGCUAGCUUUGUGACUGUAGGUCCAGGA
rnacentral:piRNA from 1 species